AACGAACGGUGGCGGCGUGGAUAAGACAUGCAAGUCGAACGGGAUUUUACUUGUAGCAAUACAGGUAAGGUUCAGUGGCGUAAGGGUGCGUAACACGUGGGCAAUCUGCCCUGGGGCGCGGGAUAGCUCGGCGAAAGUCGAAUUAAUACCGCAUAAGGCUAUUGGGGACAUCCCCGAGACGCUAAAGACGGCGCAAGCUGUCAUUCCAGGAUGAGCCCGCGGCCUAUCAGCUAGUUGGCGGGGUAACAGCCCACCAAGGCUAUGACGGGUAGCUGGUCUGAGAGGACGACCAGCCACACUGGAACUGAGACACGGUCCAGACACCUACGGGUGGCAGCAGUCGAGAAUUUUUCUCAAUGGGGGAAACCCUGAAGGAGCGACGCCGCGUGGAGGAUGAAGGUCUUCGGAUUGUAAACUCCUGUCAUUUGGGAACAAAACUUUCACUUAACUGGUGAGAGCUUGAUAGUACUAGAAGAGGAAGAGACGGCUAACUCUGUGCCAGCAGCCGCAGUAACAC
rnacentral:rRNA from 1 species